rnacentral:snoRNA from 1 species
UGUGGCUUUUGUGUAUCUAGGUGUCAGGGAGAUGAAAGGCUGUGUCUAUGCUCAGUGUUCUGACCUAAGAACAUCUGAUUGAUCAAUAGCCAACAUU